CCAGAAGAUGUCAGAGGAGGAGAAACAAAGGGGCGUUUCCUCCCACUCUGUUUGUUAUGCAGUUUAAUAAAGCAGCAAGUUCCCAGCCUGCAAGUACGAUCUACUUGUAUAAACUGAAGAAGGAAAAUGCACAAGGAAGCCAGCUUGAAA